GACGAACGCUGGCGGCGUGCUUAACACAUGCAAGUCGUACGGUAAGGCCCUUUCGGGGGUACACGAGUGGCGAACGGGUGAGUAACACGUGAGUAACCUGCCCACAACUUUGGGAUAACGCUAGGAAACUGGUGCUAAUACUGGAUAUGUGCUCCUGCUGCAUGGUGGGGGUUGGAAAGCUCCGGCGGUUGUGGAUGGACUCGCGGCCUAUCAGCUUGUUGGUGGGGUAGUGGCCUACCAAGGCGGCGACGGGUAGCCGGCCUGAGAGGGUGACCGGCCACCUUGGGACUGAGAUACGGCCCAGACUCCUACGGGAGGCAGCAGUGGGGAAUAUUGCACAAUGGGCGCAAGCCUGAUGCAGCAACGCCGCGUGCGGGAUGACGGCCUUCGGGUUGUAAACCGCUUUCAGCAGGGACGAAGCUUUUUGUGACGGUACCUGCAGAAGAAGCACCGGCUAACUACGUG
rnacentral:rRNA from 1 species